CUUGAAUCUGAAAGACUGCAUUGUGUCAGACCAAGGAGUAAGGCUGAUACUGGGCUCUCUGAAGAAUGUCAGACAUCUUGGGCCCUCCUCUGGUGAUUCAUCUGACCCCUCAAUGCUGUGUCAACUCUGGACAACUUUGCUGAGCAGUGUGGCAGAGAUGGACUUCACCAGCUUACUUGGUCUCUGUGGAAAUGAGUUGCACCUUCCAGUCCAGGGUGAAAGACGAGUGUUUGAGAGAGCAGAAGAAGUGAUGAAGCAGAGUCUAGAGAGGGUUCAUCUCUGUCUACACUGGGGUCAGAGAACUCUUCUCAGUGAAGCUCUCAGCAAAACCAUUUUAAAGUGUUUACCUAAUAUCAACAAACUCAGGUUUACCCCACUAGAACAUCAGAGAGGAUCCCCUGAAAGACUGGAGACAGAAGAGAAAGCAGUCCUACUAGAUUUGUGUCUACAAG